rnacentral:rRNA from 1 species
AUGCAAGUCGAGGGUAACAGGUAGCAAUACCGCUGACGACCGGCGCACGGGUGAGUAACGCGUAUGCAACCUGCCUAGUAACUGGGGGAAUAGCUCCCUGAAAGGGGAAUUAACACCGCAUAACACUAUUGAUUCGCAUGGAUUAGUAGUUAAAUGUAGCGAUACAGGUUAUAGAUGGGCAUGCGUGACAUUAGCUAGUUGGUGAGGUAACGGCUCACCAAGGCUACGAUGUCUAGGGGUUCUGAGAGGAAGGUCCCCCACACUGGUACUGAGACACGGACCAGACUCCUACGGGAGGCAGCAGUGAGGAAUAUUGGUCAAUGGGCGCAAGCCUGAACCAGCCAUGUCGCGUGCAGGAAGACUAGCCCUAUGGGUUGUAAACUGCUUUUAUAGUAGAAGAAACACAUCUACGUGUAGAUGUCUGCCAGUAUACUAUGAAUAAGCAUCGGCUAACUCCGUGCCAGCAGCCGC